rnacentral:rRNA from 1 species
AUUGAACGCUGGCGGCAUGCCUUACACAUGCAAGUCGAACGGCAGCACGGGGGCAACCCUGGUGGCGAGUGGCGGACGGGUGAGUAAUGCAUCGGAACGUGCCCUGAAGUGGGGGAUAACGCAGCGAAAGCUACGCUAAUACCGCAUAUUCUGUGAGCAGGAAAGCAGGGGAUCGCAAGACCUUGCGCUUUGGGAGCGGCCGAUGUCGGAUUAGCUAGUUGGUGGGGUAAAGGCCUACCAAGGCGACGAUCCGUAGCGGGUCUGAGAGGAUGAUCCGCCACACUGGGACUGAGACACGGCCCAGACUCCUACGGGAGGCAGCAGUGGGGAAUUUUGGACAAUGGGCGAAAGCCUGAUCCAGCCAUGCCGCGUGAGUGAAGAAGGCCUCGGGUUGUAAAGCGUCUUU